UCCGGCGUGGUCUAGUGGCUAGGAUACCUGGCUUUCACCUAGGAGGCCCGGGUUCGAUUCCCGGCGUCGGAA
rnacentral:tRNA from 1 species